rnacentral:lncRNA from 1 species
UGUCAAACAUCAACAUUUCUAGUUUAGUUUCCAAUAUCGAUGCUACCCACAACAUGUCUACAGAGCCUCUAAAUACAACCAAAAAAUAUGAAAAUACCGGCAACAAGGCUCCGGCUAUACCUUACACAAAUGCCUAGACUCCGGAAUAAAAGUGACAUGAGCCACGCAGGGCCCCGAGAGGAAAGGUGCUCACCAACGCAGCUGACGGAAAGCGGAGGAGGUGCUACUGUCGGAGGACUGGAUUACCUUCUAUGGAACCACCUACAAUCAUAACACAAAUCUAGCGCUCCCGGCAAAAGGGGCGUUAGUGCCAUUGAAUAGCAUUAGUAUGUAUAACUAAACACCAGCUAAUUAGAAAGAACUAUCAAACACGAAUGAAGAAAUCACAAGUAAAACUCAAACACUUUAUAAAUGAUCACAAUGUUUUCAAAUAAAAGGGAUCACAUAGCUUCCACAUAAAUUUUCAUACCUCUAGGUUGUGUUUCAUAGUCCGUCCAGUGAGUUCACGUAUCAAUUAUACACCUAUGUGUUUCAUAGAUCGUCCAUAGGGUUCACACACCUGUUUUGUUUCAUAGCCCGCCUAAUGAGUUCACGUAUCAAAUUAUACACAUAUGCAUUUCAUGGACCGUCCAUAGGGUUCAUACACCAUAUUAUAUUAUACACCUAUGCGUUUCAUAGCCCGUCCAUAGGUCCCAUAUGUUACAGCACACACCUAUGUGUUUCAUAGCCCAUCCAUAUGUCCCACACGUUACAGUACACACCUAUGCGUUUCAUAGUCCGUUCAUAGGCCCCACAUAAAACAAAUCAAAGGCAUCACCAAGUACAUUUAUAAUUCAAGUUCUCAAGAAUAGCACAUUGAUCACGUUGGAAUGUAUCUACCACAAAUAUAGGGUCACAACACCAAUUCAUGUAAAGUAUCAACCAAAUCAAUAAUCCAAAGUUCAAUCUUACCACAUUUACAUAAGCAUCGAUAAAGCUCAAUUUCUAAAAGGUGGGGUUUUAGCCAUACAUACCUCGAUUGAGCUUUCCUUAAGUUACUAUGACACUUCAAAAACUCAAGCAAUUCCAAUCUAUUAUGAGAUAUAACAAUAUUAAACACAUAUUAGAAAGAUAUUCGUGAAACUAGCUCAUUUGAGCAUUUUAUCAAACACUAGUUGAGCAUCUUGAUUACAAAUUCCCUUUUCAAGGGUUUCCUCCAUUCUCCAACCAAACCUUCACUUAAUUAGGUUCAAUAAUCUUACCAUAAACCUAAGUUGACAUGCAAGUAAGGAAUCCACUCAUAUACUCAUGAAUCACCUCUCUAAUCACUCCUUAUAUCUAAGAAUGGAGAACAUAAAUCUAAGUUGAUAUGCAAGUAAGGAAUCCACUUUUACUCACACGAAUCACCUCUCUAACCACUUCUUAUAGCUAAGAAUGGAGAUAAGAGCUAGGGUGAUGAAAUCUUACCUCUUGGGGCGAAGAUCUAGGGUCCUCACUUGAUUAUCUUCAAGGAAUUUAUAAGAUUUUGUGGAGAAAUUUGAUGGGAGAAACUUUCCCUCUCAAAAAACCCUCUCUCCCACUCUAUAAAUACUCAGAAAAAUGCUCAAAAUGAGCUACGAUGUCAAAUAUAACGAUAGGGGGUCGGGUUUAGAUAUUAAAAAAAUAACCCCCACGAUGUCGAUUUUGCUGUAUUAGAACGGACCGCAGAAUCGACAUGCGGUCCACAGAAUGCUUCGCAGAAUCGACGCCCAAAAUUGGGCUUCUCUGGACCAUUCUGCGGCCAAAAUGCGACUACAGAGUGCAUUCUGCGGUCCAAAAUACGGUCCGCGGAAUUGGCACAGGACAUCAAUUUCCAGCCUUUGGUAAUUUGAUCAUAACUUUGUGUAGGAAUGUCCGAAUGACAAACGGUUUGAAGCGUUGGAAACUAGACUCAAAGGGAUCUCAUUUGAUAUUCUAUUCAACACAUAAAACCUUAUACAUAGUUAUAUAUGCUCUUUUGAAUUGGAGCCUUGUGCGAAUCCAUUUGGAAUUUUGGCCUAUUUCGAAAAUUUUCCCAUUUGGCNNNNNNNNNNNNNNNNNNNNNNNNNNNNNNNNNNNNNNNNNNNNNNNNNNNNNNNNNNNNNNNNNNNNNNNNNNNNNNNNNNNNNNNNNNNNNNNNNNNNCUCUACUCCCAUAUCACUUACCAUAAGACUUAUUCUAAUAUUUACCAAGUCUAAUUGAUGUCCACCAUGUUAAUAGUAUAUCAAAGUAUUAUAACAAGCCUGCGUGACACUACGAAAUUCAAAAUUAAAUAGCGAAAUUUCCUGGGGCCUUACAUUCCCGAACAUGCAUAGAUCUCUAAAGGAAAACCAUGUUAAUAGUACAUAAAAACAUUAUAAUAAGCCUGUGUGACACUACAAAUCCUAAAUUACUUAGCGAAAUAUUUCGGGGCCUUACAUUCUCCCCCCUUAGAAUCAUUCGUCCUCGAAUGAGGAGUAGAGUCUUCCCCAAACACUUUAACAUAACAUAUCUCUUUUCUAACCUACCUCAAGUCCCUAAAUUUUGACUAACUCCCAAAAAGUUUUUUAGAAAUUUCAGCAGAGCCUCCUUUGUAACUAGGUCUAUCCACUUGCCAGAGAAUAACCAAAUUCGUCUCAUCAAAACAUCCACAACUAUACCUAGCACCACAAUGUAUAUAUCCCCAAUCCUAAUCCAGUAUCACAAGCACUACAUUAUCAUAAGGAUACCAGAUCAUGGACUGCACAGUUUUAUAUCAAAACACAUAUAUUGUACAUUACAAGUCAAAACUAACCGCUAUUCAAUCAAGCGAAAAUAUUUUCCUCCCACGACACAUUUAGCCUUCCAGAUGACAUUAUCUACUUACAAGGAUUGUCAUGACACCUUCUCAAAAAUAACAUCAACUCCCAAACAUACAUUACAAGGAUGAUAGAUAAACAUCUUGCAUGAGAUAAUUAUCCAUUGACUUUACCUUUUGACAAUUUCCACUGUACAAUUUACAUUUCACCGGAUAUUGCAAUUCAUGGUAACAACAUCAACCCACAAUUCCCUUACAUAGCAUCGUGCCAUCAAGAAUGUCAUUUCAUAGUAAACAAACAAUCAUGUAUUCAUAAUAGUCCUUACCAGCCAUUAAUGUAAGCACAAUGGUGUUCAUCAACAAGAAUAUAAUUUCAUUUCAAUCAACAGUCCAUAUGAAGUCAAGCCAUCAUGAUUCUUUCUAGUAAUGCAUCACAUAGGAUAUUACCAUGAUCAUAUAGUUCAUUUAAACCAACUCAUUACCUUCUUAGACAUAACAUAUGGAAACACAAAGUACAUGAGAAACAGUUACGGGGGAUAUCAUACUUCUAUUGCAACUUAAUGUGUAAUACAGUCAUGUUACCUUUAUUAUCAACUCACUUAACAUUUUUAGGGGAACACUCACACUAAGCCCUUGAUGACCUUUAAUAGUUACUCUAAGAUGUGAUACCAUAAACUGACCAUAAAAUUAUCUAUCCAAUAUAUUAUAUAUAUGAAGGAUAUAGAAUCCAUUAAUGCGCUGAGUAGAGUACUUUAUGAGGUCAUAUACUAAUAGACACAAAAUUUUACUACUAACAAUACUGACAUGGUUAAUCACUGUGACUACCUCAAUUAAUACACAAAUGAAGCAUACGAGUAAGUAGUACAUGUGAAAUAGGAAUCAUUAAGGAGGAAUACUCAAGUACAUGAACUACUCACUUUCCAGAGUGUAGGGAAAAUCCGUCUAUCCAGAAUAAGAAUAAUCUGGCAGAUUGAAUGUUAUGGGUUUCAAAAUACAUGAAAUUGAAUUACACUCUUAGAAUUACAUGACGCACAGAAUCUAUGCCACAAGCCUAUAAAGAUGGAAAGAAUUUAACGCUUAUGAGAUUACCAUAUUUUAGACAGCUUAACACUUCGUGGUAAUUGAUCAUAUAUGAGGGAACUAAAAACAUGACCAUUUGUCACUCAAAUAAACAUGUUCAUGAUAUGUACAAAAUCCAAAGUCAUCUAAUCUCAACCUUUCACGAGAUCUGAACCUUUCACGAGUGAAACUCCAAUAAAAUUCGAUGUCAUCUAAUCUCAACCUUUCACGAGUGAAACCCCAUAGCUAGGAAAUUUUGAUAUUAGGACAAAAUCAUGAAUUGGCUAGAUGGUUCUAAUAGUUAACAUGAUGCUCCGAAGAUAAGGAAUAUAACACUCCUAUACAGCUAAAAAGGCGAGAUACCAACGGUAGUAUAACUCUCUGCACAUGACAAUGACAUAGUCAAGGAUUUCAGAAGUUGAGGGUGUAAAGAAAACCAAACUCAAUGAGAUAGUGCAUAAUAACCGUUGAAGGUUUGCAGAUGUUCAUAAUGGGAUCUCCAUAGGUUUUGACUUGAAGGAAAAAGGAGGUGUCAUACUGACACAUAGAGGGGCAUGUUCUCUCAUGGCUAUUGUACGAGUGUUGGGUACUAGCACAACGAAUUCACUAAAUAAGGAAUGCAAGUAGCACAUUGUGGAGACAUAAAGAGAAAAUGAUCAUUUGUAUGAGUUGGACAUGCAUAUGUUAUUCUAACUUCCAAACUGCAAUAAAAUUCCACAUCUCAGGUAACCACAAUACUAGAAACUAAGUGAGCUACUUACUAUGGGAUAUCUCAAGUGGACACGAAAAUUAUGGUGACACAAGAUCUUCCUAUGAUGGGGAUAUAAGUACCCCUACUUUCAGAGAGGCUUUAUGCACACGGUAACCAUUUCAAUUUACAUGCACUCAUGUGAUAGGUGUUAAGGUAUACCCUUAUGUUAUUAGGAAGUGGGAAGCUUUCAUGAUGAUAUUCGCAAGAGAGUAGAUUGACUAUCCGAACCAUUUAAUCUAUAUAUGCAACAGUGGGAAGCUUUCAUGAUGAUAUUCGCAAGAGAGUAGAUUGACUAUCCAAACAAUUUAAUCUAUAUAUUCAACUGAGUAAAACAGUGACUUGACAAGGAUCACAACGUUGGGAUACUUUUCAUGGGACUUGACACCACAUAGGAAAACUCGACAUAUAUAGGCUCAAGCGAGUAUAUUUUUGUCCAAUUAAAUAAAAAGAUUCUGUAAAAAAAAAUCAUCGGAUAUAAUCCCUUGGUGAGAAUUUAGGAAACUCAAGUGGGAAGUAUUAAUAGUGUUAUAACUCAUUUCAUGAUCGUACUUAUAGAGCCCAAUUCCAUAGGAGGUUGUGAAUAAUAAAGCUGUGAUUGGGAGACAAUGUAAAUAAUACGCCCCAUUCAAAGAUUCGAUACACCGGACGUUUUAUUAUUCAACGCCUUGUUAGGACCACGUUUAUGAGAACUCUUCGAUAUAGAUGUACAUAUACAAUGAGUAGAAAUUCUGAUUUUGACUCACUCAACGACAUUAGGUUGAUAGAGAAGUAGCUUAAUCAAUACCCUCGACUCCACAUCUCUAACGUACGUAGUUAACAUGCUGACAUACCACCUACUCAAUAUAAAACAUCCUUUCUAAGUACUUAACUCGUGUUGUAAGCAUGUGUAAACACCUCAAAUCCCAUUCCCAUCUCACCUGAUCAUUUCUGUAUCAGUUAACUUAUCGAGUUUGGAGGUAUAAACAUGUAAGAAAGUAUCACCCCAUGGUCAGUCUUCCAUGGCACGAAAUUAAAUGGUCAUACCUAUUCACAUACAUCAUAGAACAAAUCGAGUUUGAAGGUCUAAACAUGUAAGAAAGUAUUACCCCAUGGUCAGUCUUUCAUGACAUGAAAUUACAUGGUCAUAAACAUACAUCAUAGAACAAAAAAAGGGGUUAAAGGAAUUACUUGUUUCUCUUCAGGUGUUGGGGCAGUGCCUUAGCUGAUGUCCCUUAACUCCGCACCCGAAACACUCAUCAGUGCCCUUACGACACACCCCUAGAUAAUGCCUCCUACACUUAGGGCGACGAGUUGCUGCUGCCUCUCAUGGCUCCCACUUGACUGGACCUGUUAGUUAGAUUUCACAUUGCCUCGGUCUUGCAUAUUAUGGCCACACUGCUACUUAUCAGGCCCUGAGGGUAGAGCCUUAGCUGAGGUCCGAAGGAUUGACUGUGAGGGUUCGGAUGACACUCCCUUGUGUGAUUCUUUCCCACCAUAAACAUUACCCUCACUAUAAGAGCCAUUAUAAUUGCUCGCAGCUCGGCUCUUUUUGUUACCCUCUCUCUCGAUUCUGUUCUUCAAUUUACG